UAAAAAAGGUGAGAAAAAAUUUUAAAUUUUAACUUAACUUUCCUCAAUUUCUCUUCCAUUUUCUCCCUCGUUAUUUUCUUUCCUUUUCUUUCUUUCCCUAACUCCCAAACACAGCGUAAAAAGCCCACCAAACACCGCCAUGAACAAUCGCCACCACCGGCCCCCGCCGCCGCCUAGUACCAUCCUCGACCUGCACACCGCUACGCAAAUCCUCCAACACACCUGCUCGAUCUUCCGCUCCCACCUCCUCAAAUUCCUCGCCCUGUCCUUCCUCCUCCUCACCUUCCGCUCCAACGUCGAGAACGGCUCCCACGUCCUCACCGACUUCAUCGACCGCGACCCCUCCCUCCGAGCCCUAAUCUCUCGCCUCAACGUCUCUCUGAAAAACAACCACCACCACCUCCACGACUCCUCCGCCGUCGCGAACCAGCGCCGCCGCCAGUACCGGCGGCGAUUUCUCCAUCUCACCCUUGGCGGCACGCUCGACGACGAGGAAGAGGAUUUUUUCUCCGGCGGCGAGGACGGUGAGUUUCGCGCCAGGAGCGAGUCCAAUGGCAGUUCUGUGAUUCUCGGCAACUUCGACACCAGGGUAAUUUGCUCUGGCUUGUCCUUUAAACUCCACGAGAAAACAUUGCAAUCUGGAGAAUCCAAAGAAAAAUACGAUAGCAAGGAUGAGUUGAAGGAAGAAAAAUAUGCAGAUGAGACCGAAAGGGUUGUGAUUUUUCAGUUCUUGCUCAAGGAUUUGGCACUCUGGCAGCACGAGGCAUCUGCUUUGUUCUUUCUUGGGUGUUUGUUGUCUGCUGCAUAUGGAUAUGUAAUUCUAGGGUUUGUGGUUACUUAUUCUUGGGUUAUUGGAAUAGUGUUUGUUGUGGUUGUGAAUCAUUUUUUAGGGAGGAUGUUUCGUUCGUGGUACUUGAUCAUAUGGGAUGGUUCGUAUUUGGGUCUCAAAAGGCUUUCUGGCUUUAUUCUCAUGAGAUGGGCGGUAAGGGAUGCACUUACGCAGCUCUUGGGUCUGUGGUACUUCAGGGAAAUCGAAGAUCAGUAUUCAUUUUUCAGGAUUUUUGUAAGGUUAAAAUUGGUUCCUUUCUCGAUUAUGUCUCCUUGGAUUCGGGGAUUCGAAAAGGAGACUGCCGGGUUUUUGUUUGCUUGGCUUUUGUUGGACACGAUUGUGGAGUUUGUUUUCUCUGUGGAUCCGUGGGUUGCAAUUGUGGACUCGAGGAGGAGUGGGAGAGAAAUUGUCAAGGAAGGCUGUUAUUUGUUAUUAACAAUGUUUAAGCAGGCUGUCGUUAUCAAAUGUUUGGAGUAUAUGCUUUGUGGAUCAUUAUUGAGAUGGACUUUGGCUCAAUAUUUCGGGAAGAUGUUUACAACGGCUUUUCAAUCUAUAAUGGAGGUUUUUUUCAUGGUGGCUUGGUUGAUAUUUUACUUUUCUGUGAGAUCCAAGGAUGCUAAUUCUCUUGGAAGGACAUUUGGCCGGAGAGAGUUAGAGGGUUUCAUCCAGGGUCACAGACGAUAGUGUGGAAAGUUGGAAACUACAAACUAGUUAACACGUUGCUUCCAAGCUACAAUUGUGAUGCUGAAAAAGCGGUUUUUCAUGCUUUAAGAAAACAACUGAGAAUAAGCUUUUAUAAAGAGGAAUUUGACUCGAAGGGUCCUUGGGAAUGACAGCUGAACCCCGUGUGUUGUGUUGGCCUUGGUGGACAGGUUUACAUCCUGAUGUUGGCUGGUCUUUGGAAGAUACAGAGGUAUCAGGUUCUUUUGUAGUUCAUGCCGCUGCUGUAUUUUGAUUUUGAUUUUCUUCUUAUUUAUUCGAGUGGCGUUUUUUUGUUUUGGGGUUUCAGGAGACUCGCAUGGCCAUACCUUGGUCCAUAUUGUAUGGUUUAUUUGGUUCCUAACAAAAUCACUUGCUGAAACAUUACAGAUACUCCAACGAGGGUCCAAGUUCGCUCCAUCCAUUCUAAUAUAAGAAAGGGACUACCCAUUUCGGUGUGAACACUUUUGUUACGCUGUCUUCGCAAAAGUUGAUUUUCACUUUGGUCCAAGAAAAACAAAAGUUUUUACAAUUAGUUUUAAUGUGGCAUGAACAAACUGUUGGGACAACGAAGUAAAUUACAACCACAGUUGCAGACAUUAUCGUCCUACAGCUGCCUGCCUACACAUCCGACAACAGUUUACAAAACAGUCUAAUGAAUUCGGUUUAAGUCCUCAUAUUUAACCUAGUUUGAGUCGUCAUAUUUAAUGGCCUUAUUUUAUUUAAAUAGGUUUCUGCCCCGCAAAUUUAGGGGUCCCUCCGGAUGGGUGCCUUCAAACUGGGAGUGAACCGUGUUGCUCGGGCUACACUACUAAGGGGUUGGGAAGCAUGAUUAAGUUGCAGUCAAUUCUGUUUUAUUAUAAUAAAUAACUUUGUUAGUUAAGAAUGCAGCUUGAUAGCCAUUUACUUUCAAUCAGAAGCUCCUUCCGUCCUCUGCUUUCAUCAUUUUAGGGAUUUUUCACAGAUGGUUAAGCGUAAUCCAGGAAUUUGUAGUUUUCAAUGGGGUCUGUAAAAUGUAAUUGUUCAGCUGUCUGAAUACUGAAAAGGAUAUAUAAACGAUGAGUACUUUUUUCUUUCUUUCCGCAGCAAAACAGGUAUAGGGGGGCCACUGUUUGAGUGGUAUUUUGAGAGUAGCCACUUUAUGCAUAUUAUCAAAGGUUAGGUCUGUCUCCAAUCCUCCCCGCCCAUACCUCCAAUGAUUGGGGACUACAUGGGUUCUGUUGUUGUUGUUGUUGUUGUUUACGAAAGCACGAAUAAAGAAACAGAGAUGACAGAACUAUGCCAAACAGAUCAAACUUGGUCCGAUUUCCCGGUUUCUUGAACAUGAUUUCCCAGACUAACCAAAUGCAGUUUACCGAAGCUUCAGUCCACACUAUUUUGUGUUCUAUUUCUAUGUUAUUGAAAUGGAAAAUCUAAUAGCAGAUGCAGAUAAAAUAACCUGCCCAUGAUCAUACUGACAAGAGCAGACAAUUCCUUAGCAGUCAUUUAUUUUGUUGCUCGCCACUACUGUCUAAUAGCCAAAGCAGUGGCCAGUGGGUUUCCAGAGCUGCUUCUGUUCUCUAAAUUAUGUAAACUAAUUCACAUGGAAGUGCUUAAUUGGAGUUCAAUGUGCUAUGAGCUAGUGUCAACUCCAAAGGUAAGUGUUUCUACAGAUUGUUUUUGCAGCUUUACUUUAUCCUUUCGUGCUUGUUACAUUACGGAGUUUGCAAUGACUCGGGAUACAGAUUCUUUGGACACAUUAAAACCUUUGAUAUUAGGAGUAUAUGUGCCGGUAGAAACAGAUCAAUAGAGAAUAGAAGUUAAUGAAACAGGUCUUGGAAGGCUCGUUACAUUCACAUGCAAUUUUGACGUUCAGCGGAAGAAGUCAUUUUAGUUUUUGUUUCCUUUUCUUUGUUCUUUGUUCUUUGUUUCUUUCUCCUGUAUUUUUUGUAUAGAAUUCAGGGGAUGGAACUCUGUCGCUGUGCCUAAUAUUUUGUUAUUCUCUCUCUCUCUCUCUCUCUCUCUCUCUCUCUCUCUCUCUCUCUCUGUGUGUGUGUGUUUGUGUGGAAAAGCAUUUGUGGCAAGAUCUGUGUUUCAGUCCAGAACUAAAUGAAACAGGGUAAAAGCUGGUUUUGCAAUAUCCGGUCAUCGUUCGAAGUUUUGUUGCACAUUUGACAGUGUUUGCAUGUAGUUAUGAAAUCCCUUCUCUUCCGUUGCAGGUUGAUGAAAGCCUCUUGGGGGCCUGUUGUGCUUUAAGCACGUCGAGAACUGCUGUGAUAGGAAAGUACGUCAUUCUGGAGACAAAUUUAGCUUGGACACAAAUUUCGCGGAAGACAGAUUUCUGAGAGAUUACUGAGGAGCUGGUUCAAGUCUCAGCAGAGAAGCAGCAGCUGUUGGCUUAGAACUUAGGAUCAAUCUGUUUGUGUGAGCAUCUGUGGCGCCUUAGGCAACAAACCAGAAGGCCAUCAGGAGCCAAUCAGAGGAGUGGCGGGCUGGAGAAGAGUUCUGGUGCAAUUACACAUCGUAGUUCCUGCAAUGCAUAAUGGACAGCGGGUGGCCCGUGUCCGGGAAAACGAUAGCGUGAGAUGAUAUGAAAUGUGCAUCCAUAUGGGUACCAUCUGAAUCAAACUCUUGGCUGCUCCCUGUAAAUGAAGAAUGAAUGAAAGAAGCCAAUGCUUGCCGGCUAGGUAACGGUCUUGCACAACAGCAAUGUGGGGACCUUUUGUUUAAGAGGUUUUGGCUCCGUUCAGUUAUCAGGAAUAUUGUACGGGAAAGUUAUUCUCAGGAAAAGUCAAGUAAAGUGAAGUAAAGGAAAAAGAAAAUUAUUUUCCUGUAAGUGUUCAUUUGACAAAAGAAUUUUGCAAGAAU